rnacentral:rRNA from 1 species
UACAACUUUCAGCAACGGAUCUCUUGGCUCUCGCAUCGAUGAAGAACGCAGCGAAUCGCGAUAAGUAAUGUGAAUUGCAGAUUUUCCGUGAAUCAUCGAAUCUUUGAACGCACC